UUCGUCCGGAGUCCCAUCCCGACUUGUGGGGGAAUCAUAGUCUCCCUCAUCCUUUCCUCACUUGGGACAAUGCUCUAAAAAUGAUGAUCAUCACACUUUUUAUUUUUCUUACAACUCAAUACUUAGAACAAAAUAUGACUCUAUAUAAUGCCUCCGACGGUGUACCGACGAAAGCUAGGGGAGCAAAUGGGAUUAGAGACCCCAGUAGUCCUAGCCGUAAACGAUGGAUACUAGGUGCUGUGCGACUCGACCCGUGCAGUGCUGUAGCUAACGCGUUAAGUAUCCCGCCUGGGGAGUACGUUCGCAAGAAUGAAACUCAAAGGAAUUGACGGGGGAUAUGCAAUGAAUCAAGAGUGACAUGUAUGAAAGAAUUAUGAACGGUGGCUUUGCCACAAAUACGAUGUCAACUACAUG
rnacentral:ncRNA from 1 species